rnacentral:rRNA from 1 species
UACGUAGGAGACGAACGUUAUCCGGAGUUACUGGGCGUAAAGGGCGUGCAGGCGGUCUGAUAAGUUCGGCGUGAAAUAUUCCGGCUUAACCGGGAUAGGUCGUCGGAGACUGUCGGACUAGAGGGUGAUAGAGGCGUGUGGAAUUCCGGGUGUAGUGGUGAAAUGCGUAGAGAUCCGGAGGAACACCAGUGGCGAAGGCGACACGCUGGGUCACACCUGACGCUAAAGCGCGACAGCAUGGGGAGCGAACGGG